UGUCCCUUAUCUGGGUGGAGUGGCAUCUGGUUGCUAAUGUUCAUCUCAAACCAGCCAGGGACAAGACAAUAUCUUGUUUAUCCCAACUUGGCUUUUGGUCUAUGUUCAAGACUCAUUAAUGCCUUGGACAUAUGG
ensembl:snoRNA